rnacentral:rRNA from 1 species
GACGAACCGAGCGAACGUUGUUCGGAAUCACUGGGCUUAAAGGGCGCGUAGGCGGGCCGCCGCGUCCGGGGUGAAAUCCUCCCACUCAACGGGAGAACGGCCUCGGAUACGGGCGGCCUGGAGGGGGGUAGGGGCGUGCGGAACUGUGGGUGGAGCGGUGAAAUGCGUUGAUAUCCACAGGAACUCCGGUGGCGAAGGCGGCACGCUGGACCCCACCUGACGCUGAGGCGCGAAAGCCAGGGGAGCGAACGGG